GAGCGAUUGAAUAGAUUUCAGCUGAGAGGAAGAGGAAAGGGUUUUGAAUACACAGUAGAUGAGAUUCAGAGAAGUAUAGUUUAUAUAAACAAAGAACAAUGAGAGUGGGAACGCUAACAUCUCUGACUUUGUAAGGAGUAAUGAAACUUAUUAAAUGUGAAAGAGUGGGUCGACUUAUUUCAACUUAAUGGCAAUUUGCAGAGACUACAGAAUUGAAGAAGGUGAAGAGAAGAGUCGGUGAUCCCUAUCGUAGCAGUUGGGCCAAGUGAUGGGUUUUUAUGAAAGUGGGUCACGUUGAAUCAGAAAACUGGGAAAUAACUGUCUUCGGUCUUGGAAAUUAUUGACGUGGCUACAUAACGGUUUCCUAUUGGUCGAUUUAAUUUGAUUACGUGGACACUCUCUCUGCUUUAGUUAUUUAACUUUUAGUAUUGUUAGAUU
rnacentral:lncRNA from 1 species